rnacentral:rRNA from 1 species
GAUGAACGCUGGCGGCGUGCUUAACACAUGCAAGUCGAACGGAAAGGCUCCUGCUUGCAGGGGUACUCGAGUGGCGAACGGGUGAGUAACACGUGGGUGAUCUGCCCUGCACUUCGGGAUAAGCCUGGGAAACUGGUCUAAUACCGGAUAAGACCCCCAUUUGGAAGGUGUGGUGGAAAGUUUUUCGGUGUGGGAUGAGCUCGCGGCCUAUCAGCUUGUUGGUGGGGUAAUGGCCUACCAAGGCGUCGACGGGUAGCCGGCCUGAGAGGGUGUACGGCCACAUUGGGACUGAGAUACGGCCCAGACUCCUACGGGAGGCAGCAGUGGGGAAUAUUGCACAAUGGGCGCAAGCCUGAUGCAGCGACGCCGCGUGGGGGAUGACGGCCUUCGGGUUGUAAACUCCUUUCGCUAGGGACGAAGCGCAAGUGACGGUACCUGGAGAAGAAGCACCGGCUAACUACGUG